rnacentral:rRNA from 1 species
CAGCCGCCGCGGUAAUACAGAGGAUUUAAGCGUUAUCCGGAAUGAUUGGGCGUAAAGGGUGCGUAGGCGGUUUGGCAAGUCUUGUGUGAAAUCUAUGGGCUCAACCCAUAGCCUGCACGAGAAACUACCGGGCUUGAGUGAUGGAGAGGUGAGUGGAAUUUCCGGUGUAGCGGUGAAAUGCGUAGAUAUCGGAAGGAACACCUGUGGCGAAAGCGGCUCACUGGACAUUAACUGACGCUGAUGCACGAAAGCUAGGGGAGCAAACAGGAUUAGAUACCCGUGUAGUCCCUGUCUCUUAUAC